CACAUGAACUAUUGGUUGUUUCCCUAGCCUCCAUUAUUGUAUUUUCAUGUUGUUCUUACUGGUUAUGGUUGUUCUCAUUUUUUCCAUCUGUCUGGAGCCGAGUUUCUAACGGAAACAGCCUCUCAUCCUUUUUAAGGAAGAGGUAAGAUGUGCGUACACACUGCGCUCCUCAUCUGUAAGUAUGUUGUUGGUACUUGUACAUGAAAAAGGUUAGUUGU
rnacentral:lncRNA from 1 species